AGAGUUUGAUCCUGGCUCAGAACUAACGCUGGCGGCGUGCCUAACACAUGCAAGUCGUACGAGAAAGUUGGCUUCGGCYGAUGAGUAAAGUGGCGCACGGGUGAGUAACGCGUGGAUAAUCUGCCUUUUAGUUGGGAAUAACGUACCGAAAGGUGCGCUAAUACCGGAUAAURCUGMRCAACUACUGUUGYKUAGUCAAAGAAGGCCUCUGUUUACAAGCUUUUGCUGAAAGAUGAGUCCGCGUACCAUUAGCUAGUUGGUAGGGUAAUGGCCUACCAAGGCUACGAUGGUUAGCUGGUCUGAGAGGAUGAUCAGCCACACUGGAACUGAGACACGGUCCAGACUCCUACGGGAGGCAGCAGUGAGGAAUAUUGCGCAAUGGGGGCAACCCUGACGCAGCAACGCCGCGUGAGUGAKGAAGGYUUUCGGRYCGUAAAGCUCUGUCGAGKGGRAAGAARUGUAYUUKGGCUAAUAYCCWUURUACUUGACGGUACCCCUAAAGGAAGCACCGGCUAACUCCGUGCCAGCAGCCGCGGUAAUACGGGGGGUGCAAGCGUUGUUCGGAAUUAUUGGGCGUAAAGCGCGUGUAGGCGGUCUGAUUAGUCUGAUGUGAAAGCCCUGGGCUCAACCCAGGAAGUGCAUUGGAUACUGUCAGACUUGAAUACGGGAGAGGGUAGUGGAAUUCCUAGUGUAGGAGUGAAAUCCGUAGAUAUUAGGAGGAACACCGGUGGCGAAGGCGGCUACCUGGACCGAUAUUGACGCUGAGACGCGAAAGCGUGGGUAGCAAACAGGAUUAGAUACCCUGGUAGUCC
rnacentral:rRNA from 1 species